rnacentral:rRNA from 1 species
AGCAGCCGCGGUAAUACGGAGGGUCCAAGCGUUAUCCGGAAUUACUGGGCGUAAAGCGUGCGUAGGUGGUUUUUUAAGUCUUGUGUUUAAUCCCGGGGCUCAACCUCGGUUCGCAUGGGAAACUGGGAAACUGGAGUGCAGGAGAGGAAAGUGGAAUUCCACGUGUAGCGGUGAAAUGCGUAGAUAUGUGGAGGAACACCAGUGGCGAAGGCGACUUUCUGGCCUGUAACUGACGCUGAGGCGCGAAAGCGUGGGGAGCAAA